rnacentral:rRNA from 1 species
UUAACAAAACGAAGCAAAGAAAUUCUAAACGGUGGAUCACUCGGCUCGUGGAUCGAUUGAAGAACGCAGCUAACUGCGCGUCGAAUUGUGAACUGCAGGACACAUGAACAUCGACGUUUCGAACGCACAUUGCAGCCCUCGGAUUUUGUUCCCGGGCUACGCCUGGCUGAGGGCCGGC